rnacentral:rRNA from 1 species
UAAUUGAAGAGUUUGAUCAUGGCUCAGAUUGAACGCUGGCGGCAGGCCUAACACAUGCAAGUCGAGCGGCAGCGACAACAAAGAUUCUUCGGAUGAUUUGUUGGGCGGCGAGCGGCGGACGGGUGAGUAAUGGCUGGGAACCUGCCCUGACGUGGGGGAUAACAGUUGGAAACGACUGCUAAUACCGCAUGAUGUCUUUGGAC